UACGUAGGUGGCAAGCGUUAUCCGGAAUUAUUGGGCGUAAAGCGCGCGCAGGUGGUUUCUUAAGUCUGAUGUGAAAGCCCACGGCUCAACCGUGGAGGGUCAUUGGAAACUGGGAGACUUGAGUGCAGAAGAGGAAAGUGGAAUUCCAUGUGUAGCGGUGAAAUGCGUAGAGAUAUGGAGGAACACCAGUGGCGAAGGCGACUUUCUGGUCUGCAACUGACACUGAGGCGCGAAAGCGUGGGGAGCAAACAGG
rnacentral:rRNA from 1 species